UACGUAGGGUGCGAGCAUUAAUCGGAAUUACUGGGCGUAAAGCGUGCGCAGGCGGUUCGUUAUGUCCGAUGUGAAAGCCCCGAGCUCAACUUGGGAAUGGCAUUGGAAACUGGCGGGCUGGAGUGUGGCAGAGGGGGGUGGAAUUCCACGUGUAGCAGUGAAAUGCGUAGAGAUGUGGAGGAACACCGAUGGCGAAGGCAGCCCCCUGGGCCAACACUGACGCUCAGGCACGAAAGCGUGGGGAGCAAACAGG
rnacentral:rRNA from 1 species